rnacentral:rRNA from 1 species
UUCUUGGAGAGUUUGAUCCUGGCUCAGGACGAACGCUGGCGGCGUGCCUAAUACAUGCAAGUCGAGCGGACAGAUGGGAGCUUGCUCCCUGAAGUCAGCGGCGGACGGGUGAGUAACACGUGGGCAACCUGCCUGUAAGACUGGGAUAACUUCGGGAAACCGGAGCUAAUACCGGAUAAUGCUUUUGGACUCAUGUUCUUAAGCUGAAAGAUGGUUUCGGCUAUCACUUACAGAUGGGCCCGCGGCGCAUUAGCUAGUUGGUGAGGUAACGGCUCACCAAGGCAACGAUGCGUAGCCGACCUGAGAGGGUGAUCGGCCACACUGGGACUGAGACACGGCCCAGACUCCUACGGGAGGCAGCAGUAGGGAAUCUUCCGCAAUGGACGAAAGUCUGACGGAGCAACGCCGCGUGAGUGAUGAAGGUUUUCGGAUCGUAAAACUCUGUUGUUAGGGAAGAACAAGUACCGGAGUAACUGCCGGUACCUUGACGGUACCUAACCAGAAAGCCACGGCUAACUACGUGCCAGCAGCCGCGGUAAUACGUAGGUGGCAAGCGUUGUCCGGAAUUAUUGGGCGUAAAGCGCGCGCAGGCGGUCCUUUAAGUCUGAUGUGAAAGCCCACGGCUCAACCGUGGAGGGUCAUUGGAAACUGGGGGACUUGAGUGCAGAAGAGGAGAGUGGAAUUCCACGUGUAGCGGUGAAAUGCGUAGAGAUGUGGAGGAACACCAGUGGCGAAGGCGACUCUCUGGUCUGUAACUGACGCUGAGGCGCGAAAGCGUGGGGAGCGAACAGGAUUAGAUACCCUGGUAGUCCACGCCGUAAACGAUGAGUGCUAAGUGUUAGAGGGUUUCCGCCCUUUAGUGCUGCAGCAAACGCAUUAAGCACUCCGCCUGGGGAGUACGGCCGCAAGGCUGAAACUCAAAGGAAUUGACGGGGGCCCGCACAAGCGGUGGAGCAUGUGGUUUAAUUCGAAGCAACGCGAAGAACCUUACCAGGUCUUGACAUCCUCUGACACUCCUAGAGAUAGGACGUUCCCCUUCGGGGGACAGAGUGACAGGUGGUGCAUGGUUGUCGUCAGCUCGUGUCGUGAGAUGUUGGGUUAAGUCCCGCAACGAGCGCAACCCUUGAUCUUAGUUGCCAGCAUUCAGUUGGGCACUCUAAGGUGACUGCCGGUGACAAACCGGAGGAAGGUGGGGAUGACGUCAAAUCAUCAUGCCCCUUAUGACCUGGGCUACACACGUGCUACAAUGGAUGGUACAAAGGGCUGCAAGACCGCGAGGUUUAGCCAAUCCCAUAAAACCAUUCUCAGUUCGGAUUGCAGGCUGCAACUCGCCUGCAUGAAGCCGGAAUCGCUAGUAAUCGCGGAUCAGCAUGCCGCGGUGAAUACGUUCCCGGGCCUUGUACACACCGCCCGUCACACCACGAGAGUUUGUAACACCCGAAGUCGGUGGGGUAACCUUUUGGAGCCAGCCGCCUAAGGUGGGACAGAUGAUUGGGGUGAAGUCGUAACAAGGUAGCCGUAUCGGAAGGUGCGGCUGGAUCACCUCCUUU